AAGAGUAUCAAUAUAACUGAUAGUAACAAUCAGAUUGUAACAAAAAAUCUAAAUUGUAUCUCAGUCCAGUAUAAAAUAUAUAGCAGGGUCCAAAGUGACAGGAGGUCCACAGUGUUGUUUGGGAACACAAUCUUUGACUUUGAAUCCCUUAAAAAAGACAUAAAGUAUAUAUAGUGCACUACUGUAUUUAAUGUCUUAAAACAGCAAUGGAAUCCCCCUCCCCAACAUAGG